AACGAACGCUGGCGGCAGGCUUAACACAUGCAAGUCGAACGGGCAUAGCAAUAUGUCAGUGGCAGACGGGUGAGUAACACGUGGGAACCUUCCUAGAGGUACGGAACAACGCAGGGAAACUUGUGCUAGUACCGUAUACGCUCGAGAGAGGAAAGAUUCAUCGCCUUUAGACGGGCCCGCGUAGGAUUAGGUAGUUGGUGAGGUAACGGCUCACCAAGCCUACGAUCCUUAGCUGAUCUGAGAGGAUGAUCAGCCACGGUGGGACUGAGACACAGCCCAGACUCCUACGGGAGGCAGCCGUGGGGAAUCUUGGACAAUGGGCGCAAGCCUGAUCCAGCCAUGCCGCGUGAGUGAAGAAGGCCUUCGGGUUGUAAAGCUCUUUUACCAGGGACGAUAAUGACGGUACCUGGAGAAUAAGCCCCGGCUAACUUCGUGCCAGCCGCCGCCGUAA
rnacentral:rRNA from 1 species